GUGCUCCCCCGCCAAUUCCUUUAAGUUUCAGCCUUGCGACCGUACUUCCCAGGCGGCGCGUUUCACGAUUUCUCUUCGGCACCUCGGUGACUCGUGGUCACCGAUACACCUAACGCGCAUCGUUUACAGCUGGGACUACCCGGGUAUCUAAUCCGGUUUGCUCCCCCAGCUUCCGUUCCUCACUGUCGGAGCCGUCCUGGUGAGACGCCUUCGCCACAGGUGGUCCCCCAAGGAUUACAGGAUUUCACUCCUACCCCUGGAGUACCUCUCACCUCUUCCGGUCCCUAGUCUGCCAGUAUCCCUGAGACGCCUUCCGGUUAAGCCGGAAGAUUUCCCCAGAGACUUAACAGACCAGCUACGAACGCUUUAAGCCCAGUAAUAGUGGCCACCACUCGAGCCGCCGGUAUUACCGCGGCGGCUGGCGCCGGUCUUGCCCGGCCCUUUCUUCACCAGUUAUUUACACUGGCGGACAGCCUGAUUUUACAGGCACUCGGAGUUCCCUUAUCACGAUUGCUCGCAUUGUAAAGUUUUCGCGCCUGCUGCACCCCGU
rnacentral:rRNA from 1 species